AGAGUUUGAUCCUGGCUCAGAUUGAACGCUGGCGGCAUGCUUUACACAUGCAAGUCGAACGGUAACAGGGAGCUUGCUCCGCUGACGAGUGGCGAACGGGUGAGUAAUGCAUCGGAACGUGCCUAUUUGUGGGGGAUAACGUAGCGAAAGUUACGCUAAUACCGCAUACGCCCUGAGGGGGAAAGCGGGGGAUUCGUAAGAACCUCGCGCAAUUAGAGCGGCCGAUGUCGGAUUAGCUAGUUGGUGGGGUAAAGGCUCACCAAGGCGACGAUCCGUAGCGGGUCUGAGAGGAUGAUCCGCCACACUGGGACUGAGACACGGCCCAGACUCCUACGGGAGGCAGCAGUGGGGAAUUUUGGACAAUGGGCGAAAGCCUGAUCCAGCCAUGCCGCGUGAGUGAAGAAGGCCUUCGGGUU
rnacentral:rRNA from 1 species